rnacentral:lncRNA from 14 species
CCAGGUGAUACUGCUGUCGUGUAAAUAUGACUGUACACAGGAUGAGAGGACAAAUCUGAGGAGGAUCAAGCAGGACGACCAUCAGAGACAGGACACGGGAGCGAAGCAGAGAAGGAGAACAACUGGUCCUUGAAUGCCUCCCACCAACCCCUGUUGUUCUGACAUUCUAACUGCUUCUCCUUUGAAAGGCCUCUCUAC